UACGAAGGGUGCAAGCGUUACUCGGAAUUACUGGGCGUAAAGCGUGCGUAGGUGGUUUGUUAAGUCUGAUGUGAAAGCCCUGGGCUCAACCUGGGAAUUGCAUUGGAUACUGGCAGGCUAGAGUGCGGUAGAGGGUAGUGGAAUUCCCGGUGUAGCAGUGAAAUGCGUAGAGAUCGGGAGGAACAUCCGUGGCGAAGGCGACUACCUGGACCAGCACUGAUACUGAGGAGCGAAAGCCAGGGGAGCAAACGGG
rnacentral:rRNA from 1 species